UUGUCCGGAAUUAUUGGGCGUAAAGAGCUCGUAGGCGGUCUGUUACGUCUGCUGUGAAAACCCUGGGCUUAACCCUGGGCUUGCAGUGGAUACGGGCAGACUAGAGGCAGGUAAGGGAGAAUGGAAUUCCCGGUGUAGCGGUGAAAUGCGCAGAUAUCGGGAGGAACACCGGUGGCGAAGGCGGUUCUCUGGGCAGUAACUGACGCUGAGGAGCGAAAGCGUGGGGAGCGAACAGG
rnacentral:rRNA from 1 species